GCUUUCCUGUGGCUCAGUCAGUAGAUCACUGUGCAAUCAACGCAAAGGUCGUGGGUUCAAACCUCAGGGACAGCA
rnacentral:tRNA from 1 species